UACGAAGGGGGCUAGCGUUGCUCGGAAUCACUGGGCGUAAAGGGUGCGUAGGCGGGUCUUUAAGUCAGGGGUGAAAUCCUGGAGCUCAACUCCAGAACUGCCUUUGAUACUGAGGAUCUUGAGUUCGGGAGAGGUGAGUGGAACUGCGAGUGUAGAGGUGAAAUUCGUAGAUAUUCGGAGGAACACCAGAGGCGAAGGCGGCGAACUGGAUAGUAACUGACACUGAACUACGAAAGCGUGGGUAGCAAACAGG
rnacentral:rRNA from 1 species